GAACGCAUCUUGCACCCCUGGGUAUUCCUGGGGGUACGCCUGUUUCAGUAUCAUUUAUACUUCUCUCCCCCGAAAGGGUGUGCUGGGAAAAAUCACUACUGGCCCCCGAGGAUAUUUUCUCUGGCGGCUUAAAUGCUCUGGCAUCCCUCUUUAGAGUUGCUUCUUACCCUUUGGUAGUUUAUUCUGCUAAAAGCAACGAGAAACUCUAUAGAGGUGCCCCUGCUAAAUUAUAUCUCUUGAUCUGAAAUCAGGCGGGAUUACCCGCUGAACUUAAG
rnacentral:misc_RNA from 1 species